AAAAAGAGAGAGAAGAAAAAAGAAGAAGAAGAAGAGAAAAGCAGGAGCCACAGAGUUUUAAAAAAAAUUAGGGCACACCAAGGAGAAAUUAGGGUUCCUGAUGAAGAUGAUGAUGGGAAAUGUAUGAUGAAUUGAAUUUCAUGAUUCAUUGAUUUCAGAUCUCUCUAUGAAUAUCUAAAAGGGUGAUUGAUUUGUAAUUUGGAUUCGUAAGUUCUUUUUGAAGAGAGGGUGUGAAAUUAUGGAAUUUUUUGGGAGGAAUGAAAUGAUGAGAUCUUCAUCAAUAGAUGAUGAAAAUGUUCCUUCAACCUCUUCAAAAGAACCUGUUGAAAUUCCUGCGAAAAUUCCUCGUUCGUCCUCGAGGCGAAGUGGUAAGAAUGUGUUUGAAUUGUUAGCGAGAAGGGAGAUUUGUCCUCGAUCGAAGCAUACUUCGAAAAGGCUGUGGGGAGAUGCUCAUGGGGAUCUAAAUGGGUUAAAUUGCAAAGUUAUGGAUGCUAAACAUGGUUUAAUUUUAUGGGUAGAGGCAGAAUCUUUGAAACAUAUAUCUGCCAAAUAUUGUCCUUUGGUACCUCCUCCAAGGUCGACCAUAGCAGCAGCUUUUAGUCCUGAUGGAAGAACGCUUGCUUCUACGCAUGGUGACCACACAGUCAAGAUAAUUGAUUGUCAGACUGGGAACUGUUUGAAGGUGUUGAGUGGUCAUCGAAGAACGCCAUGGGUGGUUAGGUUCCAUCCAGUGUACCCAGAGAUACUUGCAAGUGGAAGCUUAGACCACGAGGUCCGCUUGUGGGACGCAAAUACGGCAGAAUGUUUAGGAUCACGUGAUUUUUUGCGUCCUAUUGCUUCUGUAGCUUUCCAUGCUCAAGGGGAGCUUCUGGCUGUUGCUUCUGGUCACAAGCUGUACAUAUGGCACUACAAUAAAAGACGGGAGGGAUCGCAACCAAUUGUUGUAUUGAAGACAAGGCGGUCGCUCCGGGCUGUGCAUUUUCACCCACAUGCUGCUCCAUUUCUUUUGACUGCCGAGGUUAAUGAUCUCGACUCUCCAGAUUCUCCAAUGACACUGGCAACAUCUCCGGGUUACUUGCACUAUCCUCCUCCUGCUGUAUUUGUUGCAAACGUUCAUUCUGGGGCCCGUGCACACACAGAAACUAAUACAUCUUCUUUACCUAUUCCGUUCAUGUUCUGGCCCACAAUUGCUACAGAGGAAGGAAGAACAUCUUUGCAGCACGGGAAUAGAUCUGUUGGUUCUAUUAAUUUGCAGCAAAUGGUUGACUCUUCUGCUUCUUUGCAGCCUCAAGUAGAUGUAAAUAUAGAGACUCAGGAUGACUAUUUGGUAUCUCCGAUGGAUGUAUCUCCGAUGAUACCUUCAAGCUCAUAUAAUGCACCGGAAGAUUCGUUAAGCAAUAAUAUAUCAAGCGAGAUGGAAAAUGCAGUGCCUGACUCUGCGAUGGACGUUAUGGAGACAACCGAAGGGCAGCCUAUUGGUGGCAAUCAUCAAAAUAAUUCUCCCGUCAUAGGUUCGUCACACGGUAGAAACAUUGGCCAAACAUCGGCUACACAAUCUAGGGAAAACAUCGAAGUCACACCUGGAAUCUAUCUUUCAAACCUAUCUGGUAAUGCUGGCCUACAGAUGCUUUUACGGAAUGGUGAAAUUGGUCAAAUGCAUCAGUUCUUUCCGUUUGGUGACCCCAUGUUUUGGGAGUUACCUUUUCUGCAAGGGUGGUUAUUGGGCCAAAGCCAAGCUGGUUUACAUCCAAUGCUUUCUUUAAAUGGUGCCCUCCAUGAAAACUCAGCUGGAUUUCUUCGUACUAUUGCGUCUGACAACUUUGCACCUAAUUUGGCUACUCGUAACGUGGAUCCAUCAGUAUUGACUGGUGUGAGUCAUCCCCGAAUUGGUGGACGAUCGGGUCUACGUCAUCGUUCGUCGCGUUCUCGUGCUGCGGCGUUAUCUGCAUCUGGAGAAGGUACCACUUUUAUUAAUAUUAGAAGUAACGGAAAUGAACCUCAUCCAGUGGUUGGUCGGACUGAGACUGAACUUGCGACAUCACUGGCUGCCGCCGCUGCUGCUGCCGAGUUACCUUGCACUGUAAAACUUAGAAUUUGGCCACAUGAUAUCAAAGAUCCUUGUGCGCUGCUUGAUGCAGGGAAAUGUCGCUUAAGUAUCCCACAUGCUGUCCUUUGUAGUGAAAUGGGUGCCCACUUUUCACCUUGUGGGAGGUUCUUAGCAGCAUGUGUUGCAUGUACGCUUCCUCACAUGGAAGCUGACCCUGGAUUGCAAUCGCACGUGAACCAUGAAACCGGCGCCUCAACGUCCCCUACGCGUCACCCAAUUUCAGCUCAUCAAGUUAUGUACGAGCUUCGCAUAUAUUCCCUCGAGGAAGCAACCUUUGGUCUUGUGCUUGCAUCACGGGCAAUAAGAGCAGCUCAUUGUUUGACUUCUAUACAGUUCUCCCCGACAUCAGAACACAUAUUAUUGGCAUAUGGUAGACGGCAUAGUUCACUCCUUAGAAGUCUUGUCAUUGAUGCAGAGACAACGAUGCCUAUUUAUACAAUUUUAGAGGUAUAUAGAGUAUCGGAUAUGGAGCUUGUUAGAGUGCUUCCCAGUGCAGAAGAUGAAGUUAAUGUAGCAUGCUUUCAUCCUUUGGUGGGAGGAGGUCUUGUUUACGGAACAAAGGAGGGGAAACUUAGGAUCCUUCAAUAUGAUGGUCCUUCGGGUACAAAUUCUACAAGACCGAAUUUUCUUCUCGAAGAGAACAUGCUUGAGGUCCCAACAUACGCUUUAGAAGGCUAGACAUUGGUGCCAACUUCUUUUUGGGAGGUCAAUGCUCUUCUUGAUGGAUUGCUGCAAAGCCAUAAUUUGAAAUCCUGGCAACUAGAAAGCUUACCAUUACAGCGUUGACAAGGAACACAGGGAAUGCAGAAUGAACAGUUACCACUUGGCAUACCCUAGAGUUAGGCGGGAAUUCAAGAACAAGUACGCCAUCACCCCUGCUCGUGUUGUUUCAUUAUUUACACUUUGUAAACUGUAACACAGAACAUAAUCAGUGAGUGUCAAAUUUCCUCGGAAAGCAAUGUACAAUGUUUAAUUCAUCAUUUUCGUUUUUGUUUUCUUUUUUAUAAUUUUAAUUUGUUGUUGGAAUCAAAAGUAGGUCAGUGUUGUGGGGGUUAAAAAUGUAGUCAAAUAUAGCAGCUUGAAAAUUCAAUCAGAUCUGGGUUUGUUCCCAUUUACAUGUAUCUAAUGUAAAACAUCGAAUGUGAGCUGUAUUGUGUUCCAAGUUUGGUCAGUAAAUAUAUAUCCUCUCAAAAGUUUGUUUGUAGUC